UACGGUAGGGUGCAAGCGUUGUCCGGAAUUAUUGGGCGUAAAGAGCUCGUAGGUCGGUUUGUCGCGUCUGCUGUGAAAACCCGAGGCUCAACCUCGGGCCUGCAGUGGGUACGGGCAGACUAGAGUGCGGUAGGGGAGAUUGGAAUUCCUGGUGUAAGCGGUGGAAUGCGCAGAUGAGUCAGGAGGAACACCAGUGGCGAAAGCGGCUUCCUGGUCCAGCACCGACGUUCAGGCACGAAAGCGUGGGGAGCAAACAGG
rnacentral:rRNA from 1 species